AUUGAACGCUGGCGGCAGGCCUAACACAUGCAAGUCGAACGAGUGGCGGACGGGUGAGUAAUGUAUGGGACACUGCCUGAUGGAGGGGGAUAACUACUGGAAACGGUAGCUAAUAACGCAUACCAUCGGAUGUGCCCAGAUGGGAUUAGCUAGUGGGUGGGGUAAAGGCUCACCUCGGCGACGAUCCCUAGCUGGUCUGAGAGGAUGACCAGCCACACUGGAACUGAGACACGGUCCAGACUCCUACGGGAGGCAGCAGUGGGGAAUUUGGCACAAUGGGCGCAAUCCUGAUGCAGCCAUGCCGCGUGUAUGAAGAAGGCCUUCGGGUUGUAAAGUACUUUCGGCGGGGAGGCGUUACCCGCAGAAGAAGCACCGGCUAACUCCGUGCCAGCAGCCGCGGUAAUUC
rnacentral:rRNA from 1 species